rnacentral:rRNA from 1 species
GGCGUAGGCGGAAAUGUAAGCCAGACGUGAAAUCCCGGGGCUCAACCCCGGAACUGCAUUUGGAACUACAUAUCUAGAGGAUAGGCGGAGAAAACGGAAUUCCACAUGUAGCGGUGAAAUGCGUAGAUAUGUGGAAGAACACCGGUGGCGAAGGCGGUUUUCUAGCUUAUACCUGACGCUAAGGCCCGAAAGCUAGGGGAGCGAACA